GAAAAAUGCAGACUCCCUGGGCAAAUUUUUUUCCUGUUCGGAUGGAUCUAAAAUGCAGGAAUCAGAAUGCCAUGGAACAUAUUUGGUUUUUGAAGAUGGUAAUGUAGAUAAACCAGUGUCAAAAGAACGGGAAUGGACAAAAAAUAGAUUCCAUUUCGACGACGUAUCGAAGGCAAUGUUGACACUUUUUACGGUAUCAACUUUUGAAGGAUGGCCAGGACUGCUGUAUGUUUCAAUUGACUCGCAUGAGGAAGAUUCUGGACCAAUUCACAAUUUUCGACCCAUUGUUGCAUCAUACUAUAUAAUAUACAUUAUUAUAAUUGCAUUUUUUAUGGUUAAUAUAUUCGUCGGUUUCGUUAUCGUCACGUUUCAAAAUGAAGGAGAACAAGAAUAUAAAAAUUGUGACUUAGACAAGAAUCAGCGAAACUGUAUAGAAUUUGCUCUUAAAGCAAAACCAAUACGUCGAUACAUUCCGAAGCAUAGGAUACAGUAUAAAGUAUGGUGGUUUGUUACAUCACAACCAUUUGAAUACAUGAUAUUUGUGUUGAUUAUGAUAAACACUAUAACUCUAUCGAUGAAAUUUUAUCGCCAACCAGAAAUAUACACUGAAGUUUUGGAUCUUCUUAAUUUGAUAUUUACAGCUGUUUUUGCAUUGGAAUUUGUUUUCAAACUUGCUGCGUUUAGAUUCAAGGUAUGUACACUAAAUCCCCUAAAUACGCUCCCCCCGAUUGCGCCUCCACCGUUUUGCGCCUCCCCCGUUUUGCGCCCCCCCCAAAUAACGCUCUAAUUGGCGCAAAUCGGGGGAGCGUUAUUGCGGGUUUUUGGCGUAAAAUGGGGUUUUCUUUUUAAUGUACUUUAUUUACAUAUAAAUGAAACAUUUGUAUAAGGGGUCAUCCACAAAACACGGAUAAGGGGCCAUCCACAAAUCAGGGUAUCCAAGAACUCCCGGAAGUCAUGCCCUAGAUAUCUACCUGGUCAUCAGGGGUUUAAAUGGGUGUAUUAACCAUCGGUAUAGCUUCACACGGAACAAAAUCCGGUCGGCGGAUCCGAAAAUUAUUCGCGAUGAAUUCGAAAACAUUCAAUGUUUACAAAAUCAUGGAAAUUGUUUGCGAAAUUGAAAAAAAUGUUUUCGAUAUUGGAGCAAUUUGUUUGCAAAUUCGCAAACACCAUGUUUGCGCGCAUUUUUCUGAGUAUUCCGCCGCAGCCAAUGCGUUACGCUGUCAGUUGUCAAUUCCAGCUGGUCCCGCGUCGUAAACAAACCCCAAAACGAACAACAAGGAUGCACCGAGUCGCGUUCCGUGAAAUUAGAAACUGGCUUAAGUCUCCUCUCCUGUAAAGUCUGCGUCGAGUGGAAUGGUUUGGAGGGUCACGGAAUGUACAUCCGUCACUGAAACCAGGAAGUGAUUUAAAAUGUGGUCCAGUUGCGCCGAAAGUCGAGGUUAGGUUAUACUGACCAGCUACGAAAUGGAAUGCAACCAACAGCUGUACACGACCCUUGGACUGAUCAAGUACGAGCAGAUCCAGGUCGACAAUAUCCACGCUUUGCCGUACGAAAAAGGUUUGUACUGAGUUGUGAUCCUAGAGAAGGUCUGCUCGAAUCUUUGAAUGUAUUUCAUGUUUGAAAAAACCUCUUAUCUGUUUCAGACCUUCCCAUUGAAGAGCCUGCUCAAUAUUAACCUGAUCGAUUACGCAAUUACGGAGAUUCUUUCGGCGCUGCUGUUGAUGCAGAACCUGCGCGAGUUUGCGUCCCAGGACGAACUUGUUGAUUUGUGACACCCUUCCGAUGUGGGACCCCCCUCCUCCUCCUCCUCCUCCUCCUCCUCCUCCUCCUCCUCCUCCUCCUCCUCCUCCUCCUCCUC